CAGCCGCCGCGGGAACACGGAGGGGGCUAGCGUUGUUCGGAAUUACUGGGCGUAAAGCGCACGUAGGCGGCUUGGUAAGUUAGAGGUGAAAGCCCGGAGCUCAACUCCGGAAUUGCCUUUAAGACUGCCGAGCUAGCAGGUGAGAGAGGUAAGUGGAAUUCCGAGUGUAGAGGUGAAAUUCGUAGAUAUUCGGAAGAACACCAGUGGCGAAGGCGGCUUACUGGCUCAUACUGGACGCUGAGGUGCGAAAGCGUGGGGAGCAAACAGGAUUAGAUACCCCAGUAGUCCCUGUCUCUUAUAC
rnacentral:rRNA from 1 species